GACGAACGCUGGCGGCGUGCCUAAUACAUGCAAGUAGAACGCACAGUUUAUACCGUAGCUUGCUACACCAUAGACUGUGAGUUGCGAACGGGUGAGUAACGCGUAUGUAACCUGCCUGGUAGCGGGGGAUAACUAUUGGAAACGAUAGCUAAUACCGCAUAAUAUUGAUUAUUGCAUGAUAAUUAAUUGAAAGGUGCAAUUGCACCACUACCAGAUGGACCUGCGUUGUAUUAGCUAGUAGGUGAGGUAACGGCUCACCUAGGCGAAGAUACAUAGCCGACCUGAGAGGGAGAUCGGCCCCACUGGGACUGAGACACGGCCCAGAACUCUAAGGGAGGCAGCAGGAGGGAAUCUUCGGCAAUGGACGAAAGUCUGAACGAGCAACGACGCGGGAGGGAAGAAGGUUUUCGGAUCGUAAAGCUCUGUUGUAAGAGAAGAAAGGGUGUGAGAGUGGAAAGUUCACACUGUGACGGUAUCUUAACAGAAAGGGACGGCUAACUACGUG
rnacentral:rRNA from 1 species